UACGUAGGGUGCGAGCGUUGUCCGGAAUUACUGGGCGUAAAGGGUGCGUAGGCGGCUAGGCAAGUCAGAUGUGAAAUCCCCGGGCUUAACUCGGGAGUUGCAUUUGAAACUGCUUAGCUUGAGUGCAGGAGAGGAAAGCGGAAUUCCUAGUGUAGCGAUGAAAUGCGUAGAUAUUAGGAGGAACACCAGUGGCGAAGGCGGCUUUCUGGACUGUAACUGACGCUGAGGCACGAAAGCGUGGGGAGCAAACAGGAUUAGAUACCCU
rnacentral:rRNA from 1 species